GUGGGCCCACAAACGACCAAAAGUAUCAAAAGCGGUAAACCUACAGUUUUUUAGGAUGCAAGUCCAACUGUAGCCCUCAACGAAAUGAGCUAUUUACCGACUAUCCUGAGCCUGAAAUGGGUGGAAAGGAGGGUGGUGAGAUUAUAUAAACCUAGUGAGUAAACAAAUAUCAUCUAAAAUAUCUAAAGCUGAGUAAAUGGAGACAGAUAAAAUAGAUUAGAAUAAAAAUGAUUCACAGCAUUUCGAACUCAUUUUAAUAAGAUAAAAUAGAUUCAUUUCACCCAAAUAAACAACGAGGCUUAUGAUUUCCUGAAAAGUUUGGCUCGUGCCAAAAUCAUUCUCAUACUCAGUUUUUAGGGAUACCUUGGCCUGGGGCUAUCCCAACUGAGUCCGCCAAAGCUGUUAAAAAGUCAUGUACGCAUAAAUCAUGUUUUUUAUUUUGAAAACAUAGCCGUUCCUUGGCGUUGGCUAAGUUCACCCUCACGUGGUGGUUUGGCGUGAAGUGAACUCUAAAGUUGUACCUCGGGAGUUACCCUACGCGCCUCUCCAAUCGAGGUAAGAAUAUAAUGGGAUUUUGUGCCCCUCAAAAAGGUUGGUCCACAAAACCCGCACACCGCAGCAAGCUAAACCCACCAUACAAUAAAAUUUGCGAUAGCAUGAUAUGACAAUUAUUUUAUUUUACAGCCUCUCAAGGCAAAUCAACAAUUCAUACAUUUUCAGCACAUUUACCAAUUCAACCAUUUAUGCCAAUAUUAUCAUAAGCCAUUCAGUUCAAACCAUGAUUUAUAACACAACAAUUAGUCUCCAAUUACUCCAUUUUCAAAACCAUCUUUCAAUUUCAAGACAAUUUUAUAAAAUCAUUUCAUUUAAUCACAUUUUGCUUAUAAAACAUAAAGAUUUACCAUUUAAACUCAUUUUUCUAUCAAAUCACAAAAAUGAAUAAAAACUACUUUAGAUAAUUAAGACGAUAAUAAGGUUACUCACUAUAUCAGGAGUUUGAAUUUUUGAGUCCUCCGACUAUUGAUCCUUGGGUGUAAUUUCUUUGCCCUUUCUCGGAGGAUUCACCACCUAGACAUAAUGCAAAAUCAAGCAAUUUACCACAUUGGUGCUAAACCGUUAUAAAACUAAUCUAAACUUUAUAUGAAUGCAUGAUAUGGAAGGCGAAUUGUUCGGAUUAUCGUCUAUAUGCGAUGUUGGCCUAACUCGAUCUACCACCCGAUUAAUUGGCCAAUAUGUCCAAUUCAACUCCAAAUAAUUCCAUUUCUCUCCCAAUACUUCAAAUCACCAAACACAAGUCAAAAACAUAAAAUUUAGCAAAACCAUCAUCACAUUUCUUCUUGAAAAUUUCGGCCAUGGUGAGUGCAUCAACACUAUGAUUUUUCCUCCUUGAUUUUCUCAACAUAAUUCAUCAUUUCCUAACCAAUUCACUUGAAAUAAAAUCAAAUCCACCAUCAACACUCUACAAGGAAGAUUCAGCAAAUGAUGAACUCAUGAGGAAUAUGUGAAUUUCAAGAUUAAUUCUUACACUUAACACCAUAAACAACUAAAAACAUCCAUAUAUCUUAAAAAUCUAUCUAAAUCAUCAUCAAAUUCUCUCUCCUAGGGUUUGAUCAGUACACUAUCCUUCAUGAUAUCUUUUGAUUCAACCAUGGAAAAUGCAAAAUAAUGCAUAGGAAAGAUAGAUCACAAGCUAGAGUUAAGAAAUUUCACCUUUGAUGGCUUGAUUACUUGAAAUCCACCAAUUUUCUCUUGAAUUUUCACUCUAGGGUUUUGUUCUUCUUCUUUUCUUCCCUUUUUUUCCUUUGGCUGGCCAAGAGAAAUGAGUUGGG
rnacentral:lncRNA from 1 species